CAGUGCACAGGAGUGAGGACUGAACUCCCACAGAACGGGUCUUCUCUGCAGUUUGAUGUAUGGGCACAUUAACAUUCAUGUGUUCUGGUAUUUUGGAUGCUAGUGAACUUCCUUAGAAUUUACUUGACAUUGCUUUGAAAGUGUCUUCCCUUUGCCUUUUAAAAUACACUGACCCACACAGAUGCCGCCUGGCCCAUGUUCUGUCUUGGUGACAUGCUAUAUUCUUGAGUUGCUUUAUCUACUCAUUUAAGGAUUGCAUGGGAAAAAAAACUGGGCUGCUAUACCUGGAGACAUGAGCAAGAACUGGAAUUCAGAACUGAUCAGGCCCCAGAAUUGGACAUGAUACUGCAGGUGGAGUCUCACAAGAGCAGAGCAGAAGGGCAGAAUCAGCUCCAUGGACCUGCUGGUCUCACUUCUCUUGAUGCAAGAUACUUCUUUUGAUACAAGAGAUAGUUGUUGCUAUCAGGGACAUCAGUAUGACUUUACUGAUGAUGACCUGGAAUAUAUGAUUAAUCAUGUUGACGUCUGCAGCAGGGAUGAGAUUUGGAGGCCACUCCUGGAAUACUCAGUAAGGAUCUCCCCUGGCCUAUCAACUGCCCCAAGAUGGAGCUGCAUGCAUUCCAUCUGCUCCUCUGCAUGGAGCAUGACUUCUCCUCACCUUUGCAGCCACCCUUUCCUGAAGAGCCUCUUUUUAAUUUUUCCCAAGUUCAAUUUGUGCAGACAUAAGCAAGAAGCUACAGCAAAACUAAGGAAAUGUGCAUGUAAUGUAAAGUAAGUCCUGCAGCUAUGAAGCUAUUUCAUUCUUGGAGGAACUUGAGUCUGGAUAGCCACCAAAGAGGGCAGGUUGUAUUGAUUUUAUGACAUUCACUCCACUAAGGGUUGCUUUGUUUUCAUCAACAAUAGUAUCAGUUAUCCUAAUUUCUGGAAGCAAUGCAAAUGUUUACUCCAAAAGGUAUAAACAUAUAUAAUGUUUACUGUCUUGUAAACCACAAAGAGUUAGUAAAUACAUUUUGUUCCAUACUUUGUUAUCUGUAUAAAGCUACACUGUACAAGGCUGUCAUCUAGGUCAAAGAGAGAGGAACAAUGUGAGAUAAUGAAAAGAGUAGUAAAUACAAGUUAUUACUUAAUAGGCUCAUGUAAUUACCAAGGGUGGGGGUAGAAAAAAAUGGUGUUAUCAGUGGUAAAUAGAAUAAGUAAAAGAAAGGUGGUGGGUUUUUAUUUUGUUUGUUUGUUUGUUUUUAAUUAAAAAAAAUGGAUCAGGGGUUAAAGAUAAUAUUUUUAAUAACUUGUGCAAAAAAUAACAGUUAUGACAGGAUUUGAAAUAAAAAUUGUUUCUAGUCCUUAUGAAACAAAGGUUAGCAGCUAUAAAUGGGGAGGAUGAGAGGAAACGUUUACUAAAGUGCACCAUGUGUAAUCAUCAAGCCUAAAUUACUUAAAUCCAGGAGUCAUAGAAAUCUAUGUAGUCCCAGACCACAAAUAAUUGUAUCAGGAACUAAUAAUAAAUAUUAGUAACAAGAAAACAAGAGUUGCACCAAAAAAUUGAGGUUGUAAAAUUCCAGUAUGGGAUGAAGUGAAAAUCAUAAUUUGGGAAUAAUAAUGUAUCAAGAUUAAUGUUUAUUCUAGGUAAGAAAUGAUUGAGUUGGAACUUUAAAUAAGACUGGUUACUACAAUACUGAUUCUUACAUUACUUGUCUGUUUUGGUGGAAGAUGUCCUCUGAAGCUUUCCUUUCUGUAUUUGUUUGAUCUGACAGACUUGCAGACGUGGUCAAAACUCUCAAAGAGAGUCAGUAUCAUAAUGUCUAUAUUUCUCCAUCAAAUAUGGAGAAAAUCUCUAUUUUGAUUAAAAGCUUUCAUUAUGUUCAUUAACAAAGUAUAUUGCAGAAUAACUCCCUCAGAAAAGGCAAAUUUAAGUUGCUAGUGGGAAAAAUAAGGUACUGGGUUGUUACUGAGGAAUUAAUUUUUAUUGGAGACAUAUACUCCAAUUGGUGGAGUUACGUAUAGAAUUUUCAUUGAAGUUUUCAAAUGAUACAACAUUUGUGAGGUAGAAAAUGAUGAGAAGGAUGAGAUACUGAUGCAGAGCAAGCUAUAAUUCGCACUGAUGACCUAACUGCUCAGUAGCAGCCAUGCAAGUGGAGCAUAUUCCAUGCAUGAGCCCAUCCUCCCUCAGGGCAAAAGUUAGAACUGUAUUAUCUCUUCCUCUCUUCCUCCAGUGCAUCUGGUCUCAAGAAUGACCUGGAGCACUUAAUUAAGUGGCCACAAUUGAAUACUGAAAUGCAUAGUGAUAUGCAUUUCAAAAUGAAGACCACACACUGUGCUUACAAAGUUGGAGCUCCUAUGUUGAAAUACAGUCAGUUAAAAAGAGUUUUAAUGGUUAUUAUGAGUAGUCACACUAUUUAAAUUCAUUUCAGAGUUGAUUCAAGAAAUGCACGCCAAUAAUGAACAAGCUAAAGAAAGAGAGAACCUCACUAAUUAAAAGAUUCUGCAUUUUUUUACCUAGCUGUUCUAAAAGUACCACAGUUCAAAAGGAAUAUAAAACUGAUCAAGUGGGAAUAAAGAAAAUUCAAGAAACACAUCCAGAAUUCAGAAAAUCAAGCCCUUUGCCAUAAAGAGUUGUCUUAUGAAAGAUGAAGUUGAAAGACUUUCUUUCUCUUCAGAAGUGCUUAUAUAUGGUUGCAUUCAGAAAUUGUGAUGCAUGAAAGUUCUUUCUUUUCAAAGACCAGUAACACAUUAGAGAAAUAUAUUGCUUAAAUGGGAUUAUGGUUUCAUAGUAGUCUGACAGAUGAUGCAGAAAUGCAACUUAUCAUUCAGAAUUUUUGAUGUAGUAGAACAGCUUUGUAAUAUGUGUAGUAUCUAAUUCAACUUUUUGGAAGAAAUCUUCAGCCUGUGUGCACUGAGGGAUCACACUAUAUCUUUGAGGUGGUCUCCUGCACAUUUCUGGGGCAUUUAGCGAUAUUCUUUUUACUCUAAAUACUCUCAUAAAACUUAGCUUGAGAUACCUGUAGCAUUUAUCAGUCAGUCUCAUGCUUCAGAGUUAAUUAGUCAUUGACUAAUCAGAAAUUAAUACUGGUUUAGCCUUCUGCAGGUUUAUUGCUUUGCCCUGAAUUGCUGGAUCUUUCUCCCUUCUGAAGCACUGUAUUGGGGUUGGGUUUGUUUUUGGUUGGUUGGUUUUUUGUUUUCCAGGUGAAGAUAAGAUGAUAAACUGUGGAUUCUGAAGGGUAUUAGAAUUACUGUUCAGCUUGGAUCAGAGUAGGGCAAGCCUUUCUUCAGCAUUCUCUGUGGUCAUAAUGUCAAUCAGUGCCAAAGAGAAAGAGGUGACUGACUGGCUGAUCAAUGAAUAUGCAUGGAUCCUAACAGUAAAGGAGCUCCUGGUGGGCUCUGAGGUGCCUGCUUUUCACUGUUGUAGCAGAAAUGCUAAGUCAUGGCCUGAACCAGUGAUUGAGCACCUGGUGGGAAGGCAGGGCCAACCCAGGGGAGCUCAGCUGCAUGUGGAGCACCUGAGUGAUUGGAAGGCAUGGAGCCAGGAUCCACCCCUUCCCAGACUUCAUUUAAGGGUUAGCAGUGGAGGUGAGGAUAUCUUGUUGGAGGUUACUGCUUACUGAAGGUCUUCAUAAGUGUAUGCUGGUGGAGCAAUACCAAGUUAUCUCUCAAACUUCCAAAGCUGGCUGGAGCUGGAUGUGAGGUUUUUACAAGGUAACCACCAAAAGCAGUAAAGUGAAAGCUACAGAACUGGCAGACAUCGGUAUCUAAUAGCUGGUGUCCUUCCUCCUUUCCUGCUGUUACAUAUGCUCUGUGAAAUGGUGUCAAUGAACAGAAGACAACCAAGCCUGCUUUUUCUUUUCCCAACUCAUCAUACAGUGUACCUUGUCUCACCUCCCAGCAAACUGACAGCAACCUGUACCCAACAUGAAAAAAAAAAUAACAAGCAGAUAGCACUCAAGCAGCAAAAUCAACAUUCUUAUUCUUCAGUUAAUGACUAAUGUGAGCAAGAUGAGGUCCAGCAGCACUCCAACAGAACAGAAGAGAGUCCUUUAUUCCCAAAGCAUCAAUGAUAUGGUCAAUAGUUAAAUCCAAUAAGUGAUAUUUUUUCCCUCUUCUUGAACCUAAAAAUUAAGAAAUGAGAGCUCUACAGCUCUUUUUCUUACCUGUAUAUGAAUUACUUGACUGACAUUGCCUUUCAAAAAGAGCUGCAAAUAUGUUAAGCCAGGAGGGUAAAGAAAAUGAAUCCUACUCAUUAAUUAGCAUUACUACAUAGUGCAAGUAUGCACAAUGUGGAUUUGAAGAUGGAUCUCCACCUUUUACGUAUAACCUGGCAGGCGUACAAGUGACAAUGUAUCGUAGCAUUUUGUGUAAACCCUUGUGAAAGUUCUGUCCUUGGUGAGAUACAGAUCUAGGAGAACCAACAUACAGAUGGACAGGCGAUCAAGAAAAAAACAAACAGGAAAUAGCAGGCUGAAGAGAAGAUACACACAUGCAAAGAAAUAGUGCUUAAAUUCUUCUAAGGUCUGAUAAGAGGAGACUGAUGGUCCAGCUGAACCUGCAAAAAGUGAUAGAACUCCAAAUUGUACUGAAUUUUUUCAAAGCAACUGGUACAUAGUAGCAUCAACAAUAGGUUGUAUCACAUGGAUCAUACCCAGGAGGGUAGAGGCUGCAGUAUUCUGACAGACCCUGGUGUAAUACAUGCACCCUAAUGGGUCUCCCAGACCUACCUCUAGGCCACUCUUUCAGUUGGCCUCCAGCUGUUACUCCGUCCACAUAACUCAAGUGAUCAUCACCCUCAAUUGAACUGAAGGAGACAGCAAGGCAGACUCACAUACAUUGUAGGUACAGGGAAAAGGAAGCAGUGACUAUGCACUACUGGAUUUAACACAUUUUAUUACUGUAUGCUGUACUUAAAAAAAAAAAAAUCCUCUGAAUUUGUGCUUUUGCUGUUGUUUUCCUGCUAAGGAUGAAUGUUUGUUUGUAUAUGAGAAGCCUACUGCCUUCAGUUGGCUUAUUUUUAACAACCUUGCUUAUUACAAUGCUACAUUUUGAAUCUCUUUGACCACAAUGCAAGAUGUUCUACUUAAAGGUUUCUUGAUGUUAUUGUACUGAGAGAAUUUACUUCAGUAGCCCUAAAAGCCAUUCCAGGAAUAAGACUUGAUCCUACACUCAAUUACCUGUCCACAUUCCAUCAAACAUCUGAAAAGAGGUUAAACAAAAUGGAAGGACAACCAGUCCUUAGAUUAGACAGUAAAUGUUCUCUGGGAAUUGACUUUCUUCUUUCCCCUUAAUGCAGCAAAAAAUGCAGCAAGCAUCUUGGCAACAUCAAAACUAGCCUCGCUUUGGUGACUGCCAUACUGUUUUACAAACUCAAUUAUCAAUCAUUUUAAUUUCACUGCAAUUUAUAUUAAAAAAAAAAAAAUGCAGAGGAGGACUCGUACUACAGAGGAAGAUGCAAGACCAGCGUAGUCAUGCACAACAGCACAGUCCUUAAAAGUUAUUAAAACCAUUCAGUGGGAGAAGGGAAAUAAAAUCAGGUCAUCUUAAUUCAAAGUGCUAUUUUAUUUUCAUUGUCACUUGGCUUUUGAGAUUCAACAGCCCUAUCCAACCAUCAUAAUCUCUCUCUCAUUUGACAAUUACAUGAUUUUUCUAAAUAAACACUUACCUUUGGGAAUUUUUACCUGUCCAGCUUCUCAGACCUUUCAAGUAGAAAUUUUCAGUGAAACGUCUAUUCACAUCAUUCAGUAAUGUGGAGUAAUACACAGAGAGUUACCACUUCUUACGUUACAUGAAAAUGUAUUAAUGUCAUUAAAAUGACAUCAAAAAGAUUAUGAAAAAUGAGACAUUUGACCAUGAAUUUGGUGACUGUGGCCAUCUGGGUACUUAGGACAACUUGUAACAAAACUUUAGCACACUCUGAAACAGAAAUGGAAGAUAAUAUUUUGAUAGCAGUUGUUCAGCAAGGUACACCCACGUGCAUUUAUUAGCAUGCUAAUACAUACGACAGUGUAAGAGUCAGGGAGAGAAAGUGUAAGUGCCUAAGUGGAAAUGCAGUGAAUAACCCUAAGGAUUAAAGUGCAUCAGAUCUUUACAGCAAAUGACAGAGGCCCACUUUCAGUUACUGGAAAAAUACCUCUGGUGCUUUUAUGAAGUAUUUUUCUCUGUGAGGUUUCAAGGACAAAAUGAAGAGGGUUUUUUUGUUGUUGUUUUUCUUUUUUCUUUUCUUCUUUUUUUUUUUAACUCAUCCCAGAAUCAGGCUUGCUUAUUUUAUUUUUUAAUUAUCCCUCCUUAUACCUUGAAACACCUUUUGGAGAAAGGUUCUAUACACAGUUCUAUACUUCACAAUGACUCUGGGAUUUUUACUUUUAACAUCUUGUCAUCUAUAUAACAGGAGCUUGUUUGUCUUCCCUCCGCAGCUAUACAAUGGCUUCAUUUCAUUUUUGAAAAAGUAUAAGAAAAUACCCAAGCCUGAAGACAAAAAUGUUCAAAGCUGCGUUUUUGAUCAUUUAAACAUCAAUACCUCUGGCUGCACACAAACUAUUCAGAAACCUUACACAGAGCUGGCAGAAAGCAAAGAGACAUUUUUCAUAGUACUGCUAACAAUUAAGCCUCUUGUCUCCUAAAAGCAAGCUCAUGCCUUUGGAAGCUUCUUGUCCCAAACAGAUUUGGUCACUGCCAGCCUCAAACAGGAACCAAUAAUGACUUACAUGCAUUGAUCUCAGUUAUGUGGUUGCUGGAAUUGUUAUUUAAAUUCUUAAUGUAAGAAUAUAGACUAUACUGGAGAAAGCAUAAGCUUCAUAGGGGAGAAACACAUAAUAAUUCCUUCUUCAUUAGAAGUAAGGCUCACUUGUUCCAGCCCUGAAACUAUGGCAAAUAGUUUGUCCAUGACAAAGUUGUUAACUGACUCCAUUUACUGUCUUAGCAGGCAGUACUCACAUCUGGACAUGUGCAAGACAGUUCCUAAUCAACGUUUUCCAGGAACAGGCAGCUAAUGGUCAAAAUGGCAAGAAACUGAAACUCCAUCCUUAUUGAAUCAAAGAUUAAGAAAUACUUGUAGAUGAAGAUUUCAGGUUCAAUUUUUUCUCUCUAUAGAAAUAGUCUCUCCCCCUCUACAAGGAGCAGAGAGCAGAUUUCCCCAAACCUCAAAGAUCAUGUUUGGGUCUUGGAAUGCAGCCUGGAGAAAGAAAGUCUGCAGGACACCAUACUGAACAUGCCCCCUGGGCAAGUGUCUGCACAUUUUCAUGGAGAUUCAGUCACUUAACUAGUAUAAAAGUCAGAGUGUACAGUUUGUUUCUUCUUUCUGGUCACUUUUAUCUUUAGAAGACUUUGUAACGGUCUAUAUUCCAACUUUUCAAUAAUGAGACCUUCUUACAUAAUUGUUUGGACCUUUAUAUAGCAAAUCAAACUUCUCUUAACUGACGUUUUUGGUGGAGGAAGUUGAUUCAGAUGUGGCAAGGAUAGUCUGAGCUCACAUUAUUUGGUAGAUCCAGUUCAGUAAUAAUUAGGUGCAGGCUUUAUCCAGCAUUGCAACACUUAAUGAAGAAAACCAUUAGCAUCAGCAAGGGUGAAGAGAGAUAGAGUCCUAAAAAGAUGUUCCUAGUGCACUGAUUUCACUCAACAAAUACAGAAAAACACAAAUAUUCCACCUAGUAUUUCUUUCUCUCCCAUAAUCUGUUCCUAUUUCUCCACUUCUAAAACACAUAGCAACAUACUGGAAUAAGCUCUGCAAGUUCAUUACCUAAUGUUGCAUUUUUGUCCAAAGAAUGUCACCGUACAUCCAGUCUUGUUUUCACCAUUAAUUUGGCAGCACCAUGUAGCAGAAGUCUGAUGAGACACCUUCCAAACAAUCUCACUCACUCAUUCUCUCCUAAUGUAUCCAAACAGCCUAACUGGAACUCACAGGGAAUAUUACAGACAUUUUAGUAUCAUAUGUAUAUUUGUAUGUAAAAUUUAUGCCAAUACUGGCAAUAAAAAAUACCAAGAGCUUUGAGUUUAAUUUGAUGGCAGAAAUAGAAAUCAGAAUCUGGUUAAUAUCUUCAAAAGCCAGUGUUAAUUGGCUGAUUAGUUGGAGAAUGAGGAAAUAAUUUUUUCAGCCACCAGUUUAAGUGAGAGCAUUAAGUUAUGCAAAAUAACUUUGAGAAUCAAAUAAUUAGACAAAUAAUACACAAGGCCAGUAAUGUGUGACCAUCAGCAAACAGCAAAUGUAUGAACAAUGGAACAGUAUUAUUCUUUUAAUACUGUUUAGCUGUAAAGAAUCCCUGUGUAUCCCUUGGAUUAAUUUUUUUUUCAAGUUAUUACAUUCAAUCAAAUGUAUGAGAAAGCAAACCAUUGAUUUACUGCUGUCAAGGAGUACUUAGUGUAGCAGUUUAAACAAAGCAUGGCUGUCUCCAUAUAUAAUUCAUGUUUAUUAUGAAUGUAAAGGAGAAGAAAAAUGCUACAAGUGUACGUGUAGGCUCAGCUAUGUAAAUUCCUGUUGUUUUCUGAACGUAAUAAAUACAGUGUUUACCUGUGGAAAUAAUCAAACAAAUUUCCUGCACUGAAUAGGUACUUUCCAGAAGUCAGUGUUAAAAACAUUCUCCAAACACUCAUUGCUUCAUUCCCAACUAAAGCAAAUCAUUUGUUUUUUAAAAGCUGUCUGGAUUUGCUGCUUUAUUCUUAAUGUGCUUGACUCAUAUGCAUCACAGAUCUUCAAAUGGAUCUAAAAACAGGUCCUAGGUUACUUUUUUUUUUUUUUUUUUUUUUUUUGUGAGGGAUAGUACUGAUUUAAAGAAUAGUUCAGUCUUCUUCCCCCCUUCUUGAAACCUCGUUCUUGCGUUAUUGAGCUUUUGUAAUUCAAGUAGCGUUUAGAUAUAAAAAGGGCAUUCAGAUCCUGUCACUCUCAAAAACCUGAAUGUUCAGUUGAGUUAUAUUUUGGAUUUAGGCUAGUAAUAUAUCAGUGGUUAUGUCAAGACGUCUUUGAAAUGCUGAACUUCUGGUUCACUCGAUUUCAUUAGCUGAUGUUUUCUCCUUUCCCAGCUCUGAGCACCACAUUACAGCAAUGAGCUCUCUCUCUCUCUUUCAUUCUAGGAGUUUGUAAUGCCUUCAGCGGAUGCCCCCUACUUUUCUCUUAUCCUAAUAAAAAACGGAAAAUCACUUGGGCUUUGUUCCUCAAUUACAUAUUCACCAAGUUAACUCUGACAUGGGAAAAGUAAAGUUCUAGGUGUACAUUUCUAAUUAAAAUACCAUUCCAAUUACGAUCUUGAAAUCAGAAUCCUACUGUGUAGUGGUUUAUUAUGAAAUGCAUCUGAACAAAGCAACACAGCCCUCCACCCCCUUUUUAUUUUUCUUGUCUCUUCAGCAAAAUAAUAAGCUCAGAACACCAAACUAAUCAGAAAUAGCAUAUCAGAGUGAAUGAGAGCAUGUCUAAGUCCCCUGAAGGCAUAAUAAUGAUAGUACUUGCUAAGGUCACUAUUUUAAUUUCAAACUACAGCAACAACUCUUUAAAAAAAUAAAUUCACAACCAAGAACUUAGUAUUAGCACAGUGUCACAGCAUAUUUACAGAUGUUAUAUCAUGUCUGAGUACUGAAAAUAACCCCAGAGUGAAUAGCUUCAAUUGCCUAAAUACAGGAACUCAUUUAGACCAUAGAGAACAAUCAACCAGAAAUCAUAAAUACUCUGGAUAACAGAAGUCACCAAUCAUCAUCCAAUUACCUGAAUAGAUAGGCUGGGUGCUUUUAGAAAGAGAGUUGUUGUGUUAAUUCUUGUCUGUUUCUUUGCCUGUAAGGUCUUCAAAAAAUAAUAAAUCUGAUCUUGAAAUAAAUAAGGUUUCAACUUCUCUUAUACUUUAUUAUAAUUCUUAGCAGAUUAGACUUGGUAAGACUCUUAGCAUUUUAAAUCUUAAAAUACAGUCUUUAAAUAAGCUUGUCUUUGCUGACCUGUCACCUCUAAGUUAUUUGCAGAGAACUUUGAUUAAGUAGCAUUAACUAAGUCUCUUCCUUAAAUGAUUUGGAAAAAUGCAACUUUAAAUAGGUCAUUAAAAAAAAAAAAAAAAACACCAAAAACUUUCUGCACUACUUUCCACAUCUCUUCCCUACAGUCUGCCUUAAUAGGUAAAGCCCUGUCUGCAUUUGCAAGGGGUUGCAGCCCUUACUGCCAACACAGACAAGGUGUUCAGUUAGACAGGUUCUGUCAGAGACCUCAAAGCUUUCAGUGUGGACCCUCUGCCUACUGGAAAUAAUGUAUUUUACAUGGAAAGCAUCUUUCUCGCUCCCAACUCCUAUGAUCUCAGUAAAUUUUUGAGUUCUGUACAGCAUACUCAGAGCUCUCUGCAAUCCUAUUUCAUUAGUGAGUGGGGUAGCCUUUUUCAGCUAUAGGUCAUGCCAGAGAUUUUACACCUACCUUUGUUCCCCACUUGCCUCCAGGAAAAUGCCAUUGUAUCAAAACAGAUUUGUUAUUCUCUCUCUCUCUCUCUCUCUUUUUUUUUUUUUUUUUUUUUUGGUAGGAAUACACUGAAGUUCCCUUUUUGUGUUUUGUAGUUAUGAUUGGGGCCAACAGCUAGUUGCAGUUUAAUCAUAACACCAACAGGAGUUUUAAAUGGCUUAUGUUUCUAUAGCUCGUCAAUGGUCUACGAAAAAAGCCCCACUAUGUGAAAUUAAAUUAAUCUGCAAAACUAGCCUGGUAAGCCUAUGAAGCACAUCUCUUUUGAAUCCUGUUUUGUAGCAAGCUAGAAAAAGCUUAGGGGUAGAGCACUAUUUUAAUUUCUUACAUUCUCACUUUCGACAGAGGCAUUCAAAAAUAAACAACUCAAUUUUUUUUUUUUUUUCAAAUUGCAAGUAAAGUCUGAUCUUGGCCUUGAGCAGGAUUCUGAUCAUUUUUGUCAAGUCCCUUUCAAUAGUCAGUUGCCACUAACAGACUUCAACCUCUACUACAAAUGGCAAAUAGUCACAGAAGUUUUUAAAGCAGUACGUGAAAUUAGGCUCUGUCUCUGACAAACUGGCAACCUAGUAUUGAAAAUCUUUUGUGAUAAUCAGUGGCUCCCAUAGUCCCAGAAUCUCCAGAGAAGUACAUGUUACUGAGGGAAGAUAACAAUCAACACAAUUUCAUUAGAAAAUGCAUUUCUUUUACCUUUGUGAACUGCAUAUACAACAAAAAGUUGCCAUUUCUGUUUACGUGGCAGGCAUAUCACAUUUCAUUCUGUUGGUUGUGCAUUGGGAAGUAACCUACAGCAGAAGUGAAAUGACUGCAUGUAUUUACUUUGCAAUAAAAACACCUUUCUUGAAACAUUUUCAGCUGACCUUUUUUGGUCCUGUUAACUAGAAAAGGAGUUGUUACCGAGAUUGGUUUAGAUGCAAUAAUUGCUUAAACAUGACAUUUAGGAUUCUCUCAGAGGUGAGAUGCAAUAAGGCACCUUUUCCCAAUCAGUGAGCAACGACUUAUAUGUCUUUCCAUUCUCCUUAUCCUCAGCCAUUUCUC
rnacentral:lncRNA from 1 species